UUUUAAUUUUCUUUACAUGAAAAAAAAAAGGGUUUAAGACUGUCACGUCAAGUCCUCCCAAUUCUCACGGCUUUCAUAACGUUUUUUAUUUCCUCAUUCUCUUCAGGAAUUCCCGCUAAUUUUCUCGAGAAAAUUGGGGAACAGCUUCCUCCGAGUAUUUGUUCUCACUUAACGCGUGAAUGAAAUGAGGCAUCAGGUCGAUGACGGAUAAAAGAUUUGCCAAUCUUACUCGAGAAUGAGUCACCGGAAAUGCAGUAUAUCAUGGAAAGAUGAAGGUAUCUGAAAUUCAACUGAAUUUCAAUUUUUAAAGAAAGAUUAUUGCUGAGAUCAGAAAGGUGAAGGGCUUGUGGUUAUGGGGGAAUGUUAUUUGUGGAGAAAUUCCAAGGUUGUGCUUAAAAUGUCUUAACAGAUUCUCUGGUGAUUCUUGCAACCCUUGGUGCGUUGUCAUAUAUAUAGAUUCAGUGAGUGCUCUAAGGUUAAUGCAAUAGCAAAUAAAAAAAUUGAUAGCAUUCAUCUGUACGCCUACCAAGGCUGUUAGUCAUCGCCUAGCGUGGAGGAAGAAAUACCAAGAGAAGAGGCAAAUGUUACAGUAGUAUCACCACUGAGGUAUCUCUUGAGACGAUCUAAGUCAUCUGCAGCAUCGAGCAUUGUGGGCCUUGUGGAUGGAGACUCCUGUGUGCAGAGAAUACCCAAUUCUGUCAUUUCUCCUACUGCUAUCUCCCACAUUUUCUGAACUUCAGGUGAUUGGACUUUUGAGGCCCUAAGCAGUGAGGUAUCGAUCACUUUUUCCAUGCUUCCAUGGUAAUGAUUCUUCACCCAUCUGUGCAGGUUUAGUGCACCAACAAACAUAUCAUCUGUUGGCCUUUUUCUAGUAACCAUCUCAAGAACCAAAAUGCCAAAGCUGUAGACAUCUCCUUUGGUAGACCUGUUUGACCCAGAUCCAUACUCUGCAUAAUAAUGGGUCAGAAAAUUAUUAGAUUCUCACCUACUUGCUCUCAAAAUCAGAUUAUUGAAAACUUAAUAAGAUUAGUUGUAUUGGAGGCUAAGGUUUGAUGGAGAGAACAUUUGUAAUUUUUAGA